rnacentral:rRNA from 1 species
UACGGGGGGGGCAAGCGUUGUUCGGAAUUACUGGGCGUAAAGGGCUCGUAGGCGGCCAACUAAGUCGGACGUGAAAUCCCCAGGCUCAACCUGGGAACUGCGUCCGAUACUGAUUGGCUUGAAUCCGGGAGAGGGAUGCAGAAUUCCAGGUGUAGCGGUGAAAUGCGUAGAUAUCUGGAGGAAUACCGGUGGCGAAGGCGGCAUCCUGGACCGGCAUUGACGCUGAUGAGCGAAAGCUAGGGGAGCAAACGGG